rnacentral:rRNA from 1 species
GGGAUGGGGAGGCCUAUAAUGCAGUCGAGCGGACAGAUGAGAGCUUGCUUCUCGUGUGUGUUCGCGCGCGGACGGGUGAGUCACACUGUGGGUCACCUACUGAUGACACUGGGAUCUUCCGGGAAACCGGGGCUAAUACCGGAUAAUAUUUUGAACCGCGGGUUCAAUAAUGAAAGACGGUUUCCGCUGUCUUUUAUAUAUGGACCCGCGCCGUAUUAUCUAUUUGGUGAUGUAGCGGCUUACCAGGGCCACUAUACAUACCCCACCUGAGAGGGUGAUCGGCCACUCUGGAACUGACACACGGCCCACACUCCUACGGGAGGCAACAAUGGGGAAUCUUCCGCAGUGGGAGAAAGUCUGACAGAGCAACCCCGCGUGAGUGAUGAGUGUUUUCAGAUCGUAAAACUCUGUUGUUAGGGAAGAACAUAUUUGUUAAUAACUGAGCGACUCUUGACGGUACCUAACCAAAAAGCCACGGUUAAUUACGUGCCAACACCCCGGGUAAUACUUAGGGGGCAAGCGUUUUCCGAAAUUAUUGGGCGUAAAGCGCGCCAAGGCGGUUUCUUAAUUCUGAUGUGAAACCCCCCGGUUCAACCGUGAAGGGUCAUUGGAAAUUGGGAAAUUUGAGUGCAAAAAAAAGAAAGUGAAAUUCCAUGUGUACCGGUAAAAUGCUCAGAUAUAUGGAGAAAACACCAGUGGCAAGGGCAGUCUCUCUGGCUCUGUAACUGACUCUGAUGUGCAAAACGCGUGGGAGAUCAAACAGGAUUAGAUCCCGGGAUAUCCCACCCCGUAAACGAUGAGUGCUAAGUGUUAGGGGGUUUCCCCCCUUUAGUGCUGCACUAACGCUUUAAACAUCUCCCCUGGGAAUACGACCCCAAGUUGAACUCAAGAAUUGACGGGGACUCGCCACAGCGGUGAACAUGGUGUUAAUUCAAAGCACGCGAAGACCUUAACAAAGUCUGACAUCCUUUGAACAUCUCUAGAGAUAGAGCUGUCUCUCUUCGGGACAAAUGUGACAGGUGGUCGAGUAUCGUCGUCACUCUCGGUCCGGAAGAUGUGGUUUAGCUCCCGGACACAGGCAACCUGUAACGUAUGGCCACUAUAUGCACUCAGUAGCUGCGUUUCACCACGCUGACGAGUGA